GGCUAUAGCUCAGCGGUAGAGCGCUUGCCUAACACGUUUGAGGCCCUGGGUUCGGUCCUCAGCACCA
rnacentral:tRNA from 1 species